UGAUCAUCCGUACUGUCUCAAAGUCAGAUGAAGGUCUCUACCACUGUAAACACCCAGAGAGAGGAGAGUCACCACAGAGCUGGCUCUCAGUCAGAGGUGAUUCUGCAGCUCAGCCCGGUGAUGUCACUCAUGCUCAGAUUGUCACUACUGAAACGUUUCUUGAAAGAAAUGUAUCAGAUGAAGCAAUGCCAAGACUAAAUGAUGACAUAUUCUCAAAUCAAGAUGAAAAACCUGAAACACUGGAAAAGUUGAGCUUUACCUUUUAUACACAUAACACAAAGCACUGGCUCUACCAUGCAAUGCCAUCAAAAACAAAAUUGCUGAACAAUUGAUGCACUUUACUCACAUGCUAAUGCAAAAAAGCAUGAACACUAAAUAAUAAUAAUAAUCCAUCCAUCCAUCCAUUUUCUAAGCCGCUUCUCCGUCAGGGUCGCGAGGGGGUGCUGGAGCCUAUGAGGGAGAGAAUCUGCAAUUAAAACUCAUCAAAAUCCAGUGUGAUGAUUCUCUGAAGAAUCAACAUCAGCAGCUUUCCCUCCCCGAGUUCUACCGGGGCUUGGAAAAGGAAAAGUUUCCUCUGAUGAGACGCCACGUGAAAAAAAUUAUCAGUCUAUUUGGCUCAACAUAUGUGAGCAAACAUUUUCGCUGUUAACACUGAACAAAAGCAGAUUGAGAACCAAAAUGAUCGACAGCCAUCUCCAUAAUGUCCUUCGCAUCUCAACCACUAAGUUUACUCCAGACCUGCCAGCCAUCCUUCGCUCCAAAGCGCAGCAACACUGCUCCCACUGAAUGCAAUAUCGUUCCCACUUUAGUACAAAGUCAGCUGAUCUCAUCUGAUGCAGAUGUGCUACUUGAUCAAGUUACAUCUGUCCGGAUUUUUGGCACAAGUGGCGUCGGAUCAGCACCGCAGCUGGAUGGCCUGAUUUACAUACCUAGCGCAGCUGAUACUCACCAGAAUAAUUUACUAAAACUAUAUGCACUCCUGUUAUUAAGUCCAGUUCAGUCUGCUAAUGUUGAUUACCGUUUCAAACGAAUGUUAAUAACUUAAAUAACAAGCUUAAAAUUUACCCGUCCCAUUUUCCCCUUUAUUAUUUUUUCUCUGUACUGUAAAUCUUCUAAGAAGAAAUCUGAGGCUGCUGUUCUGAGAAAAAGCUACUAAGUUUUUUUUUAUA